rnacentral:rRNA from 3 species
AGUGAAGCGGCAACAGCUCAAAUUUGAAAUCUGGCCCUAGGCCCGAGUUGUAAUUUGCAGAGGAUGCUUUUGGUGCGGUGCCUUCCAAGUUCCCUAGAACGGGACGCCAGAGAGGGUGAGAGCCCCGUACAGUUGGACACCAAGCCUUUGUAAAGCUCCUUCGACGAGUCGAGUAGUUUGGGAAUGCUGCUCAAAAUGGGAGGUAUAUUUCUUCUAAAGCUAAAUACCGGCCAGAGACCGAUAGCGCACAAGUAGAGUGAUCGAAAGAUGAAAAGCACUUUGAAAAGAGGGUUAAACAGCACGUGAAAUUGUUAAAAGGGAAGCGCUUGUGACCAGACUUGCGUCCGGUGAAUCACCCAGCUCUCGCGGCUGGGGCACUUCGCCGGCUCAGGCCAGCAUCAGCUCGCUGUCGGGGACAAAAGCUUCAGGAACGUAGCUCUCUUCGGGGAGUGUUAUAGCCUGUUGCACAAUACCCUUCGGCGGGCUGAGGUACGCGCUCCGCAAGGAUGCUGGCAUAAUGGUCAUCAGCGAC